GGAGAAUAUAUUUUUUCAUGAAGUUUUGUUUUUUUCCACGGCAUUGCCGGCCCAAUAAACAAUUUUCUCUCUUGCAAUCACAACUUUAGUCGUGAAAAAUGAGAUUUUUGCAUGAUCAACAGCAAAAGACAUGAAAAUAAUAGCAAGAAAAAAGAUAACCUAAAAAAGAGGAGGUUUCUUGGAUUUCCAUCGUCUCUUGGAUCACCACCAACACCUUCAUUUUCAGGGUGCAUUUUUGCGGACCCCAUAAUAUUGAACAGAAAACACCCCUCGAUAAUGGAACUUUCCCAUUCAACGUCCCCAUGUUGAAGGCAACAACGGCGGAGAAAUUUUUGAAGAUACUGUCGAAGCCAAGAAAGAAAUCAAUAG